GAUGAACGCUGGCGGCGUGCCUAAUACAUGCAAGUCGAGCGAACAGACGAGGAGCUUGCUCCUCUGACGUUAGCGGCGGACGGGUGAGUAACACGUGGAUAACCUACCUAUAAGACUGGGAUAACUUCGGGAAACCGGAGCUAAUACCGGAUAAUAUAUUGAACCGCAUGGUUCAAUAGUGAAAGACGGUUUUGCUGUCACUUAUAGAUGGAUCCGCGCCGCAUUAGCUAGUUGGUAAGGUAACGGCUUACCAAGGCAACGAUGCGUAGCCGACCUGAGAGGGUGAUCGGCCACACUGGAACUGGGACACGGUCCAGACUCCUACGGGAGGCAGCAGUAGGGAAUCUUCCGCCAUGGGCGCAAGCCUGACGGAGCAACGCCGCGUGAGUGAUGAAGGUCUUCGGAUCGUAAAACUCUGUUAUUAGGGAAGAACAAAUGUGUAAGUAACUAUGCACGUCUUGACGGUACCUAAUCAGAAAGCCACGGCUAACUACGUG
rnacentral:rRNA from 1 species